UACAGAGGUCUCAAGCGUUGUUCGGAUUCAUUGGGCGUAAAGGGUGCGUAGGUGGCGCCGUAAGUCAGGUGCGAAAUUUCGGAGCUUAACUCCGAAACUGCAUUUGAUACUGCGGUGCUUGAGGACUGGAGAGGAGACUGGAAUUUACGGUGUAGCAGUGAAAUGCGUAGAGAUCGUAAGGAAGACCAGUGGCGAAGGCGGGUCUCUGGACAGUUCCUGACACUGAGGCACGAAGGCCAGGGGAGCAAACGGG
rnacentral:rRNA from 1 species